rnacentral:rRNA from 1 species
CGGAGCUUGAGAGAGCUUGCUUUUUCAAGUUUAGUGGCGAACGGGUGAGUAACGCGUGAGGAACCUGCCUCAGAGCGGGGGACAACAGUUGGAAACGACUGCUAAUACCGCAUAAGCCCACGGGUCCGCAUGGACCUGAGGGAAAAGGAGUAAUCCGCUUUGAGAUGGCCUCGCGUCCGAUUAGCUAGUUGGUGAGGUAACGGCCCACCAAGGCGACGAUCGGUAGCCGGACUGAGAGGUUGAACGGCCACAUUGGGACUGAGACACGGCCCAGACUCCUACGGGAGGCAGCAGUGGGGAAUAUUGCACAAUGGAGGAAACUCUGAUGCAGCGACGCCGCGUGGAGGAAGAAGGUCUUCGGAUUGUAAACUCCUGUUGUUGAGGAAAAUAAGGAUGGUACUCAACAAGGAAGUGACGGCUAACUACGUGCCAGCAGCCGCGGUAAAACGUAGGUCACAAGCGUUGUCCGG